AGACUCUAACAGAACUCUAGUUGGGGAUAGACAAGACUGAUACAGCGUGAACAAGACACGACUCUGAUUAGGGAAACAAAAAUCAGAUUGGAGACCUCACUGGGGAGUGAAGGACUCACACUGGGGAAAAGAACUCCAAAGGAAAAUAAAUCCAUUGAAGAGACACAAGCUGACUCCUGGGGAGAAGCAAAAGGAAAACUUCACUGAGGAAGGACCAAACAAUGAGGUGUUACCGGUAUAAGGG
rnacentral:lncRNA from 1 species